rnacentral:rRNA from 1 species
CCGGCACGGGUGGAGUAACACGUAUCCAACCUGCCGUCUACUCUUGGCCAGCCUUCUGAAAGGAAGAUUAAUCCAGGAUGGCAUCAUGAGUUCACAUGUCCGCAUGAUUAAAGGUAUUUUCCGGUAGACGAUGGGGACGCGUUCCAUUAGAUAGUAGGCGGGGUAACGGCCCACCUAGUCUACGAUGGAUAGGGGUUCUGAGAGGAAGGUCCCCCACAUUGGAACUGAGACACGGUCCAA